AAGUGUAAGAUGAAAUCAACCGACACUGCAACACGUUUAAUGUGAAUACUUAAACUUUAAGUGAGAUCCCUUGCUGAAACAAGUUAGUGAGAUCUGAAAGCCAGCAAUAAACGGAUAAAAGCCGAGAUGGUAUUUGAGAAAGUGCUGAGAAUUAUUGGUAAAGAUCUUGGAUAAUAUGACAUCAGAAGGUGGAUGCUUAUAAAAAGGAAGAAUAUGACAAGAGAGUGAUAACGAGUAACUUAAAAGAUAUUAUAAAGAGUAGCAAGACUAUACUGGAUUAGAGGUUAAGAUGUUGGCAACGGAGUUAUUGGCUACUGACAUUGUGACUUAUAAGUCGGAAAGAAGAAGGGAUAGGGAAUCUCCUAUGGUAGAAUGUGAGAAAAUUGAAUGGUAAGUAAAGGAAGGGAAGGAGUAUGACAAAAGAGGCAGCAAGUGAGUUUUAGUACAAUAAGAUGUAUAAAGCAGAAUAAGCCAGGAGAAGGAAAGACUAUGACUAAGAUUCGAUGCACUUUAUACAAGUUGCACAAGAAUAGUUAUGCAACCUACGAAUGUUCGUAUGCUAAUAAUGAGACCAAGUGAGUACUUGAUAAGAAGAGUAAGGAUUCAGUAAUAACAAUACGGUUGUGAUAUUUUGGGUACAUUAAUGAAAGGGGUAAGAUGGUUUGAGCCAAUUACCGAGAUAGAAUUAGUAGUGAGGGCAAAUAGGACAUGGCCAUAGUUGAGCCCCGAUACCGAUUGAAAGAUACAAAAGGAGAAUGCAAAGUAAAGCAUAAAGACUAGUGAAGCGACGCUAAGGUAUUUGAGUACCUUCGCAUAUUCUUGUAAAGAUUGCAACAUAAUGUGUGACAGAAAAACUAAGAGCAAAAUCUGAGUAAAGAGGCAAUAGAAGAGUUUGAAUUAAAAAUAAGGAAACGACACGAGAUAAUGUGCCCAAAGUGUUACAAGUUGAGUUAAGGGAAAUUGUGAAAUGGUUUAAGCGAGACGAUUAGAACGAGCUGGUUACUAGAAGACAGUGAAUUUAUAUGUCAAAAAAAAAUCAGAAUUAUACCAGUUAAUGAUAGAAGAGCACAGAGCAGCUAUGUAAGGUUAUUAUAUGAGGAAACUCCAGCGCUACUUGAUAGCCAACUCUAAAGAUUGAGAUUAAGAGCUAAAAAGUAGAGUGACAGUUAAAGUCUUUUAAAGAAUUCGAGAAGUGAUACAUGAGGCUGAAGAUUCAAGAAUAUAGACUGGAAUAGCAGAGCAAUGUAAGAUUAUUGAAGUAAAAUAAUGUUACACCUUGGAAAAUUUCGUUUUAUUCGUAGAGUCUGCGAAGGGUCUACAGGUUACCAGAGGCAUGAAAUACUCCAAAGAUUGUAAAGUCUAAUGAAUUAACGAGGGAUAGCGCGUUAUAAAAUCUUAUGUAAAGAUUGAGAGGUAAGAUGAAGUGAACGAUACAUCUCAAGGAAGAAACUUAUAGAAGAAGAAAGAGUCAAGUUAUGAUUAUGUGCACCAGAGAGAGAGAGUAAGAUUUCAGCAGAAGAGCUCGCAAUACAACUGUCAACCAACUGCGAAAUAAAGAGGAGAGUAAAGACAACGACAUGGAAUUAUUACCUCGAGGGUCAAGAGCAAGAGGAAAUACUACGGGAACGGUUACUUAGAGAUCUAGAAUGCGUUAUAAUAAAUUGAAGGGAAUCGACCAACGAAAGAGGCAUGUGAAGGGCAUAAUUCAAUAAAAGAACACUUGAGGAAGUAUUGGAAGUGCAGGACUAGUUUAACAUUCGAGGACGAAUGUUCUAGAGGGGGGGAAGGAUGUUACAUCCCGUGUUCUCAUGCGUUGGAAAGUGUGCGAGUUGAAUGAUAUUAGUAACGGACACGAGGUUAUCCCCCAAGCUUAUAGGUGGUUAAAGUGAUGGUACACAUGUAUCGUAAGGAUUUGAAGUUAAACCAAUCGAAGAAAAUAAGUUUUGUCGAGGUUCGAAAUUUAUUUGAUGAAAUACGGUCCAAGCUAUAAUAUCUAGUAAUUUUGGACUAAGAAAUUGAACCGUCCAACAUGAGCAAAUUUACCUGAGCUUGGAGAAUUUGGUCAUAUUCAAGCAUGCAAAUUAAGAGCUCGGUGUAUAAAAGGAUGAAGUCCCGAAAUGAUUUUAGGACUUAAAAAGUAUGACGACGAUGAUUGAAAAUAAUAUUUUGUGUAGCAAAUGAGGCUAGUACUAUACCACAUGAGUAUAAUAAUGAGUAUAUAAGUACUAUUUAAGUGAAUGAGAUCAAGAAAUUAAUUGUGUGUGUAAGGAUAAAUUUUGGCGUGUAGAGAAUAAGAUAAUUAAUGGAGAAAUAUUUGGAAUAUAUUCCACGUGCAAUCAUCCACGUGCCAUGAUGUAAAAUAAAGCACCAAAUGACCAUGCAUUAAGAUGCACAGGUGGCAUCUUUAAAAUGAUAGCAUUUAUGAUGGGUGAAUUAUAUAUGCAUUGACCCCAUGGUUUUUAAUAAAGGAAAUGGCAGCAAAAUUCCUACGGAUAUGAGGCAAUAUGGCCACCUUUCAUUGAAAGUAAAAACAUCAUUAUAUUAGCAAGCAUUUCACGUUAGCCUAUCCUUUUACACACUUGAUGAACAUCAUUAUAUUAGCAAGCAGCAAGCAUUUCACGUUUUGGAAAGAUUAGCAACGUUAACGCUGUUGUGUUUUAUUUAUUUCAAGGAAGAAUAAUGUAAUCUUUCUCAAGAACAACGUACGGAUUUUGCUUUAUAUUUAGAUCCCGUUGUUCCGUUCUGUCGUGUUGUCGAAUUCGGGCUUUCUUCAAAGCGAAGUAAGGUGGAAAAAGAAUAGUUCUUCGCAUAUAAGGUUUAUCAUAUUAAUUGUGGAAGUUCUUGGCUAGACUGAGCUCUUGAACGACGUAAGGUACAGAUAGUCGGUUUGGUGACCCUUCAGCAUAGGACUUCUACUCAGCUGUUUUGGAGAGCUCCGUUGUUCCGGAGUCUAGACUUUUGGUACAGAUCUUAUGAUAUAUAUGUAUAUGUUUAACCAGGGGUACGGUGGGGCCUUGUCCCGUCAUAUUUCGCUAUCGAUACUCUUAGAGGUCUGUAGACAUAUGUGUGGGUUGUGUAUAAGUUCUGUUCAGCUGUGUCUAAACGAUGUGCGAUGGAUAUGUUCGUCUGUGAUGGCAGCCUUGUCGGCUUGCAUAUGAUAUGAUAUUGAUGUAUAGUGGCAGCCUUGUCGGCUUGCGUAUCAUUUUAUGAUUUGAUUAGUUGUGACUCCUCAGGAGACAGUUUA